rnacentral:rRNA from 1 species
UAGGGAAUCUUCCGCAAUGGACGCAAGUCUGACGGAGCAACGCCGCGUGAGUGAAGAAGGUUUUCGGAUCGUAAAACUCUGCUGUUAGAGAAGAACAAGUGCUAGAGUAACUGUUAGCGCCUUGACGGUAUCUAACCAGAAAGCCACGGCUAACUACGUGCCAGCAGCCGCGGUAAUACGUAGGUGGCAAGCGUUGUCCGGAUUUAUUGGGCGUAAAGCGAGCGCAGGCGGUUCCUUAAGUCUGAUGUGAAAGCCCCCGGCUCAACCGGGGAGGGUCAUUGGAAACUGGGGAACUUGAGUGCAGAAGAGGAGAGUGGAAUUCCAUGUGUAGCGGUGAAAUGCGUAGAUAUAUGGAGGAACACCAGUGGCGAAGGCGACUCUCUGGUCUGUAACUGACGCUGAGGCUCGAAAGCGUGGGUAGCAAACAGGAUUAGAUACCCUGGUAGUCCACGCCGUAAACGAUGAGUGCUAAGUGUUGGAGGGUUUCCGCCCUUCAGUGCUGCAGUUAACGCAUUAAGCACUCCGCCUGGGGAGUACGACCGCAAGGUUG